CGCCCGACAGCGCGCCCCGGAGCGUGCCCGCCUCGCACAGCCUGCGCUGACCUCCGCGAGGGGCACCGCGGCCGGCACGGCCACGUCCCGGGCUUCGGAUGGUUCGCGUGCUGCCCACCCUCGCCCGCCGCUGACGCCGCGGACCUCAGCUCCGCAGACCCGCCGCGGCGCCGACGACAGUCCAGCCGAGUCCCGCUCCCUCGCCGGGGAUGGCCCUUGGCUUUGUGCAAGCAUGAGGACUGUUCAGUAAAGGAAAACAUAAAGAAACAUUGUACAGCAGUUUGGAUUUCCCCAAAGAAGAAAAGAAGGAAAGGUUAUCUGAUCACAUAUUAAACAUAGACAUAUUCCUGUACAACACAAGAAAGGGGGUGAUGAGUAGAAGCAAAAGGAAAGGAAGAUCCAAAGAUGUGACCCACCCGCUCCAUCCUUCAGGACGCCACGAUGUGGUGGGCUGGGCUGGGGAAUGCACUCACGCAAGAGGAAGGAUGCUUGGCCUGCAUUAGUAAAUGAGCCCUCUGAUGCUCAAUGAAUGAAAGUGACUUUCACGAGGCUGUUGGCACAUCAGGACCUGAAGACCCAGGUCACCCGAGUCCUGCUGGGGGAUCAUCAUCUUGUACCAUAAAAACAAGUGCAAGCUUCCAUCCCAGGAGCUGGAUUUGAAAAGCCACAGAAUCCCUGCUUGUUUCCAAACCAAAGGCUUGGGAGCCGGGAGUUCGUCUGCUUCUCACCACUGGCUUUAACUACAGACUGGGUUUGUGCUAGUUGGUUUUACCCUCCCCUAGGCUGGUUUCAGGGAUUUUGGUUUUGAUCAACAUAUAAUAUAAGCUACAGGGAUAUUUUCUUUUUCCUAUUAGCUUCUUUUUGAAUUCUCUUGGAGGAGGAAAUAACUUCUUCACAAAAUCCCUUUUACUGGUCUUUUUUGUUGACUCUGAAACUCAUACCAAGUCUAUAAUAUGGAGAAACCCAAAAUAUUUGUUUUUUUUCUUUUCUAAUAUUAACAUGUGCAAAAAUGACUUAUCCAUGACAUUUAUACUUACUUUCACAGUUCAAAUAGGCUACAUUUUUCAGUGGCUAGAUGAAGGUAGAAUUUGACAGGUGAUUUGAGGGGAUUUGCACGAUAAAGCCUAGGAAAUUAAAGGUUUUAUAUUUGCUCAGACAACUUCUGGGGUUAAGGUUACAUUCGCACAAACUAUUGCGUAUUAAAUUAAACUGGUUAUUGUUGACCUUAACACAUAAAUGCUUGUGAAAAUAAUUUCCCAAAUAUACAAAAUAGUUGCUUCAAAGUAAAGUUAAAUAUUUUCUUAUUUUGACUAUAUAUUUUAAAGUUUAUAUAAUAAUUUUCAAGAACUCACUGAAUUUGGAAUUUUUAACUUGUGAUAUUAAACUGAAAUAAAUAUGAAAGGACUUUCUUCAAGAUUUAUUUUACUUAUGAGUAAACUAGGUAUUUUCUAGAAAGAGAAAUAUGGGUGCCAUUCAGAGUUGCCUCAUCAUAAUUCUGUGAGCUGUUGAAAUCAAAUCAAUGUCUUGAUAAGUUGAGCUUCCAGAUGGAAUUUUAUCUAAAAUCAGUACACUUCGUUUAUACUUUAGGACUCCAGUGAAUUUUAUGACAAAAAUCACUUCAUACCCCAUUUGGAAGGCAGCCACUUAAGCGUGGAAUAUGACAAUUGUUUAACAGUGCACAGUAAAACUUAAAUAAUCUAUGACUCAUGGAAGGGAACUAUAUUCAAUUGAAACUUCCAGUGUAAUUCAGGUAGGUGGACAUAACCACACAGGUGUCUUGGAACUAUUCCAGUUCCAAUUGGCUAAUGAGCUCAUAAGGCCGAAGUCUCCUUUGCUGUGUGUCCCUUACUGGUUUACUUGUCCAUUAGCACAAUUCCACCUAACAUCAUGCUGGGACAUUGAUUUCACAUUGAUUCACAAAGGAAUGCCUUGGGUCACACAGUGACUAUCUAGUCUGUAGCAGGUGUCUCUGCAGGACUCUGAUUUCAGAAUCUGUGCUCUUCAGCCGCUGACAUAAUCUUUAGCUGUACCGGCUAGAGCAGAGUUUCCAGUGCCACACUGCUCAUCUUAAACAUGAACUUUGGUGGGGUUACAUGUUUCCAUCAUCAAUCCAUCUGUUAUAGGGAUUACAUCACCACAAAGGAGUUAAUUUGUCUUGUUUUGAGGGUCAUGUCUAAUUGCAUAGGUCAACAAAGGAUAAUAAAUGACUGCUUUUUACUUUA